AAGAAAGGCCUAGGAAAACUAAGGCAUGGAGAGACCAAUUCAUUCAUCCCCCUUUUCAGAGAGCCAAGCAGCAUUGAGAGAAUCUUUGGCGACUUCGAAAGAGAGCAACAAUUACUAUCUGUAAGGCCUCCAACGCCUCUGGAGCAACCAAAACCAGCCCCUGUUGUCCCUCCUAGAGCUGCUUCUCCAAGGGCUCCUUCUCCGAGGGAUCCAUCUCCAAGAGCUGCGUCUUUUAUUGAGAAUGUUCGAGGAGAUGGGCUUCAAGGUUGAUCACUCCAGUCCUAUAUAUAAGCGCUUUCGUCUGAAAAUACUUGGCCCAUUUGAAUCCGGAAUAACUAGUACUAAUUUGCCAGCAUCUGGUGGAAAAGGUAGGAGUGCAAUUGCUGAAGUUAUUACUGCCUCCAUCCUUUCAAGACUUCACAUUCUGGCACAUUUUGAUUACAAUAUUUAAAUAGAUUGCUCGUUCUUUUUGUGUCUCCUCAAUCAGUUUCUUUUUCCUGAUUGUUUUUCGUUUCCAAGGUGAAUUUAACAAAGGCAGAAAGGGAGAUAAGGUUG